rnacentral:tRNA from 1 species
GCCUGGGUGGCUCAGUGGGUUAAGCGUCCGACUUCGGCUCAGGUCAUGAUCUCACGGUUCGUGGGUUCGAGCCCCACCUCGGGCU